UAGGUUACAAGUCGUGUGCAUAUAUACACGACAUAUAUACUCUUAACAACAAUUCAUUCUGUAAUAUCAUACAACUUUUCUAAAACUAUAUUGUAGCAUUUAGGACGAAGUUCAGCUGCUGAUGCUUUUGAUAAAACCCAAUCCCAUCAUUAAGAGUGAAAAGCUUUUAUGAGGGUAAUGAUUACGCUAUAUAACAUUCUUUCUUACCUCAGUUCUUGAACUGAACUAAGAUGAAAGACAUACUUAUUUUUCUUAAAGGAAUGUUCCAGCAUAAAGUCUUGGAUAGGAGACCAUCAGAGAAAUUUAAGACUG